GACGAACGCUGGCGGCGUGCCUAAUACAUGCAAGUCGAACGCUUUUUCUUUCACCGGAGCUUGCUCCACCGAAAGAAAAAGAGUGGCGAACGGGUGAGUAACACGUGGGUAACCUGCCCAUCAGAAGGGGAUAACACUUGGAAACAGGUGCUAAUACCGUAUAACACUAUUUUCCGCAUGGAAGAAAGUUGAAAGGCGCUUUUGCGUCACUGAUGGAUGGACCCGCGGUGCAUUAGCUAGUUGGUGAGGUAACGGCUCACCAAGGCAACGAUGCAUAGACGACCUGAGAGGGUGAUCGGCCACACUGGGACUGAGACACGGCCCAGACUCCUACGGGAGGUAGCAGUAGGGAAUCUUCGGCAAUGGACGAAAGUCUGACCGAGCAACGCCGCGUGAGUGAAGAAGGUUUUCGGAUCGUAAAACUCUGUUGUUAGAGAAAAACAAGGAUGAGAGUAAAACGUUCAUCCCUUGACGGUAUCUAACCAGAAAGCCACGGCUAACUACGUGCCAGCCGCCGCGGUAA
rnacentral:rRNA from 1 species